rnacentral:rRNA from 1 species
UACUAGAGUAGCACUCGCAUAUCAAUAAGCGGAGGAAAAGAAACUAACAAGGAUUCCCCUAGUAACGGCGAGUGAAGCGGGAAGAGCUCAAAUUUGAAAUCUUAAAGGGUUUCCCUUUACGAAUUGUAGUUUAAAGAAGUGUUUUCUGUUGAGGUUUUGGUAAAAGUUCCUUGGAAUAGGACAUCAUAGAGGGUGAGAAUCCCGUAUUUGACCUUUACUUUCAACUUUGUGAUACACUUUCAAAGAGUCGGAUUGUUUGGGAAUGCAGUCCAAAAUGGGUGGUAAAUUUCAUCUAAAGCUAAAUAUUGGCGAGAGACCGAUAGCGAACAAGGUACCGUGAGGGAAAGAUGAAAAGGACUUUGAAAAGAGAGUUAAACAGUACGUGAAAUUGUCAAAAGGGAAGCGUUUGACACCAGUGUUGUUUUUCUGAAAAUCAAUUAAAGAACUGUUUAUGCUAAGUUGUUUAGACUUUAUCAGCUAUCUGUUUAGUUUUGAGCUUUUCUUUAAUGCACUUUUCAGUUAACAAGUCAACAUCGAUUUCUUUUGCUGUAAAAAAGCUUGAGGAAGGUGGCUUGAGAUUCGUCUUAAGUGUUUAUAGCCUCUUGCCUAUGCAGUCGGAGAGAUUGAGGUCUGCAGCGUAGAUCCUUCGGGGCUAAAUGCAUUUGUGCUAAGUUAUAGCAUUUUAUAGACAACUUGUUGACUAUGAUUUGUCUUGUAGCUUACUCGCUUAUGUUAUUUUACCUACGCUUAGGAUGUUGAUCUCUCACAGUCGAGC